GGCAUUCUUCUUUUUCUCUUUAACAGAAGGUGGCUUCUGUACAUCUGUUUUUCGAAGGUGCUUCCGACAAUAGGAAGUUGGCGGUGAAAAGACAAGAGCAACAUCUCGGAGAGGAAGCUUCGACUCGGAGGGAAGGGACACGUUGUGAGGAAGCAUGGUUUGGUGAGGUCGACCUCUCCCCUCUCCAACGCUAGCAGCAUCGUUGCCCUUGCGCUCCCCCUAUGCCAUCACGCCCAUUCUUGUUGUGCACAGCAUCACAGGUAUACAAAUGUCGCCGCGACCAUCCCGUUGAAAACUCCUUCUCAGGCUAAUUUUUUUUCGUUGCAACGCACGGGCACAUGUGCUAUGUUUAUUAAAAAUAAAUAUAAAAAUGAUGCACAAUGGCACAUAAAGCAGGUUAUGCCCAUUUUUCUGCCCGGUGCAAUGCACGGGCAUUUGUACUAGUCUCUCCCUAAUAAUAAAGCACGGAUUGACUUUGUCGGGUUCACCGUCACAAUACGCUUUCUUCUCAUGUCAUAAUACGCUUUUACGAUCUGUAUAAACAAAAUCGUAAUAUUAACGAGGUGGUACUAUUCUAACUUGCCCGUAAAUUCGUCCGUAACAGUUUUCGUCCGUCCUUCGAAUUGUAAAAAGAAAUAAACCAGCACGGGCUCUCCUCCUCGAUGCCUACAGGCACGGCGGCGGCGCCGCCGCCCCCACGCGCGGCCGCACGGCCGAUCUUCUUCCCCGACCCCGACCCUUUGCAAUUCUGUCUCCUUCCCCUCUCCAUCUGCCCAAAUCUUCUCCUGCGCCACCCUGAGCCUUCUCGGUCUCCAACCUCCUGCAAUCUUCAAGCCCGCCGGCACCAAAAGCAACCAGCGGUCGAUUCGAGUGACCCCCGCUAGGAAUCCAUGGGAUUUGAGGUGGAUUUCCUAGGAGAGCGAGUAGGAAGGGUGAUGGUGGGGUUCAUGGGGAAGAUGAAGAAGCAGAAGGUGAUCCACGGCCCGCACGCGACGCCGAGCCACCACAGGCCUCCUCCCCUGUCGCUCGCCGCCAUGCCGGGACGGCGUACUGGGCCUUGCCGGAAGCCGAGGACAAGCGAGACAAUGGCCAUCCACCCUGGGCCAAGGACAAGCACAGAGCGACCAGCGGCGAUAACUAUGCUCGGGCAGAUGGAUCCCGCCGCGGCGGAGUUCGAGGAGAACAGUAGCUGUGAUGACUCAACAAGAUGGAAGUGCGGGACAAGGGAUGAGUGCAAUCGGCUCAGGUAAACUCCUCCUGUACACCGUCUGGCAUCAGUUCCAGUUGCGCCCGAAGCUUUCAAGCUCGCUGCUCCACUUAGUUUGCCGAAACACUGUCGGCAUGUGCUCCAUCCAAGGUACGCCAUCGUCCAAUUCUAUCAUCAGUUUUGAACUUUAAACUAAUGACUAAUGGGUCGGAGUGGCCAGGCCUGAAAGUUCAAGGAAGAUUCAGCUUACAUCUGAAUUCCUUUGUAUUGCCUACAAUGUUAUAGCUUAAAUUCUGCUAAUAAAUUUCUAUCAAUGAUGUUCCAAACAAUUUCUUAGAGAUGGGUUGUGCACAAGGAUGCACAUUGUAGAUCUGUUAACUUAAGUUUUGAAUAAUGAGAUAUGUUCAUAUGCUUUGCUCACUAUUAUUCCUAAUUUUCUCUGGACAUAAAGACUGAAGUUUAUUGCUUUUGUUCAGCCCAAUGCUACUUGAUCAGUACUUAACCAAGAUUGGCAGCCAUUAUAGCUGGUGUAGAACUCAGAUAUACACACUGAAUGUUCCGAUAUGCCAAAAUAAACACAUUAGAAUCUUUUUAAUUAUAUUCCUACUAUUUUUUCGAGAUUGCUCUGCGGUAGCUAAUUUUGAUGUUCUGCUAUACUACUAUUGCAUAUAGAGAGAGAUCAGAGAGGAGAGCAGCAGCCCGCUGCUGCAAUUUUGUUCAUGCUGCUGCUUGGUUACUACACAUCUAUACAGAGAACACAGAGAAGGCUGCUGCUUGCUGAUUACAAUUGCUUCAUGAUAUGUACAUAUCCUUAUGUAUGCUGCUGCUAUGUACCCUUGAUCAUGGUGACAAGGAAUUGAUGCUGCAGCGGUAGGGAUCUGGUGGCCAUGGAGUGGCAGCCGCUACGUACAUACAUAACUCCAGCGAGUCAUGGAGACGAAAUAAAGCGAAAAAGAAAUUUCUAUGAAGGAUCUCUAGGGAGAUUUGGCACAUGAAGUUAAGGUUUGGUACAUUCGAUCUCCAAAAGAUAUGGUGAGACAUCUGAAUUAUGUUUCAUCUUCACAGACUAAUAUGACAUUUUACCUGGCUAUUUUCCCCAUUUGUUGCUGUAGCUAAUAGUGUUGAUAUAUAUCCCAUUGUAGUGCAUUCAUUUGUAAAUAAGGAUUUUAUGACCUUUGUUUGUGUUCCUGUCAUUAUCAUUAAGCUUGCCUCAUGUAAUUGUUAGCACUGCAAUCAGAUAUAAUAUUAAAUAUUUGUUGCAAUCAGAUAGUAUAUUAUCCUUCGAGUGAUCAUAGAUGUUCAAAAUGAUGUUUGUUACCACCAUGAGUUGUACUUUGCAAUCUUAGGAUAUACGACAUCUGUUUACCGCAGUAUAUUGCUACCAAAGCCCCUAUCUAUAUCACAUUUAAAAAGUAUUCUCUCGUGGCUUUGUAAGAUUUUCCUUUAUGCAAAUUAGAUUGCUUAUUAAUAGCAUUCAUAUUUCAAAUAUUCAUUGAUAUGAAUAACCAUGUAUAGACCACGAAAUGUAGUUGAUACACACGAGCCAUACAACGUUAGAUAUGAUUCUUACCUAAAUCCAGGGAAUGGCUGUAUUAAGUUAUUCAUGAUCCGAAAUGUUAUCCAUGUGAAUGUUUAUUUUGCAAUCUGUUGUAAAGCUAGGAAAUUUGUUGGCAAUAGUUUUUGUGUCGAGGUUCUUCUGUUUAGAUUCUAACUGAUAUGUAAGGGCAUACCGAUGAAUCAAAUAUUUAGAUGUUUUUUUCUUUUUGAGACUUUGAACUUCAGGGGUGGGGGUGUCUUCAGUCAUGCUUAUUGGAUUAGGAUCUAGGACCGUGAGCUAUUUUCUAAAGUCAUGUUGCAACGCACGGGCAUGUUUGCUAAUUUUUAGAAAAAUGCAUCGGGCAAAUUCAUAAUUAAAAAUUAAGAGCCUUUCGUUGAGUGUCAUCAAAGAUGCCUUGAAGGUCU